CAGCUAGAUCUCUCUCCCCUGAGCCCCUCUCUUUCUCUCCCGUGCGCAGCGAAGUCCUGCCCGCGGAGCUCUCCACCAUAUCCUACACCACGCCGUCGUGCUGCCGGGAUCUCGUCAACCUCUCCCCCUCGUCUUGCUGGAUCAAGAAGGAGGAGACGACAUCAAACCGUACGUGUGGAUACCAAGGAGGUGCUGUACAUUCGGCAUUGAGAUCGAUUUCAUCGAAAGUACCACUACGCCAACAAUGAUCCCGUGAUCGUAACGCUUUGUGGUCUACGAGGAACUCGCUUGGCGCUGUUAAUUGGCCAGUGGAGGAUGGUCAAGACUCGAGAGAAGCAUCCUAUGUGCUACUAGGUGAGAGAGAAUAUACACGUUACCGCUAGAAAGUUUGACUGAGGUGCACGGUGUCCUACCCCACGAUCCUAAAUUGCAUGCGUGAAAUCGAAAGGUGCGUAGUUAAACCAGAACAGAACUUCAUUUUGCAUGGUAGACUGUGCAAGUGGUGGCUUCAUCGGUACAGUUGCAACCGAUUCUUGGUCACCCUGGUCACGCUUGACGUUCUGGUCCUAGACAUCUCUUCGUCCAAACGCAAGACCAUCAGUCCAGGACAGUGAGCAUUUUAUUUGUCUCUCCUCUCCUCUUUUAAAAAGCGGUUGUUUUAUUUUCCACUAUUAUUUUAUAAAAAUGUACUCCGUAUAUGAAUGUUUAUAAUUGGCACAUGUUAUGAGAAAUCCACAACUUCUGAAAAUUUUAUCACCUGACCUAGCUUUUAUGCCAGAUCUGACUUGUGGGGUCUAGUGACCUAGCCGGGUGAUUGUGUGGGGCAUGCCGCAACCUAGUAAUUUUUUAAUUUCUUUUUAUUAGUAGAAUAUUAAAAAAAACAGGAAAAAAAGUAAAACCACAAUGUACUGACCGACCCAAUUUGAAAACGCAAUGUCUUUGUCUCACCCAAUGUUGAAAACAUGGGUUCGCCACGCGUGGGGUCCACACCUCUGCAUCCAUAUCCGAAAUAUGGUCUGUUUUUGCUUUCCCGGUUCACACCUGCUUGGUUUGAUCCCAGUCAAGGCCCAAUUAAGGGACAUAAGAACGGGAAAGCAUAGGCGAUCACACCGCAGAAACUGCCGCUUCAAUCCAUGGCGCCACAAAUCGACAUCGACGAGCCACAGCCAUCAUCACCUCUUGAGACUCGCCUCGUCGGGCUCAGUGAUGUGGAGGUGAAAUUACUAGGUCGAACCAUCAGGCCACGCAGGUGAAGCCAUACGACUAGCUUCAGUGCAUCUUCACUUUUCCCUUGUCUCGUCUCUUUUCUUCAAUUAAGAUGCACCUAAUCCUAAAAUCCAUGUCUUUUCGAACCAACUAUCAUGGUUUUGUAUUUUGAAAUAUAGACAAAAGAUUAGCCCCUCCUCCAAUAAUAAAGUGAGAAAGAGCUAAGACAAAACAAGGCAACAAAUCAAAACAGCCACAAACCAAGGAAACAUCAAUACUUGUGUUUUCAUUCAUGUAGAAUUCGAUAUGGCAUUGGUAUUUUAUUCAUAUGUUUUAGCACACAUGUGUUUCAAAAAAAAAAUCCCUUAAUGUAAAGCCGUGUAUUGAUCCAAAGGUUACAAUGUAUCCGAGAUUCUGACAAUCUUUUGAAAUGUAGUACUCUAUAUCUAAAAAGCGUUUAGAUACAUGUAAUAUUUCGGCACUUAAUAUAGGACGGAGGAAGUAGUAUGUAUGCAAUGACUAUCCGUAUGUUUAGUUUUGUUUUUUCACUUUCCUCAAGACCCUUCUUGUGCUGAAAUACUAUAGAAGGUGUGAAAUUUUAAAAGGAGCUGGUAUCAAACAUGAUCCUACAAAAGGAACACACCAUUACCAAAUAUUUUAAAGGGAGAAAGUUGGGAUAUGUGGAUAGAAGUAUUCGCGUGAUGCUUUUCUUUUCUGGUAGUGCAAUGGUGCGGCCGGGGUCCUUUUCUUUUGGCUCUUUCCACUUUUAAUUUUCGGAUGCCAUGAGAGAAUUAUUGGCCACCCGAAUAUUCCCUGCCACAAAAAUGGUUGGAAGAAUAUGUUCCAAGGAGCCUUGGUUAAUCAUUGAAAACUCCAAACGCUAGGCACACCUGAGCUGAGUUGAGCUGAUCAGGUUGGUGAGGAAUAUGUGGAGUUAAUGUAAGCUCGGGCAGAGCAGUAACACCAAACGCAAUUAAGUCAAGGAUGGAUCCCAUCAUCCCUGGUAAAACUGCAUGCCUCCAUUCCUGAAGUUACACUGAUUUGCUGCUAAAAGAGGGUCCGUGAUAUAAUUGAUAGGAGUAUAUGCUACUCCUAUGUGGUAGGAGCGCGAUGGGUGUGGUUCCAUUAACGGAAGUACUACGGUAGUUUACCGAGCGUUAACACGGAUCGCCCAAAGCUGCAUGCGCAGUCAAAAGCGGGUGCCACGCAGCGCAGGAGUUGGUUGGGACUUGGGACGAGACGACGGCGACGUCCCAAAGCGUGCUUAUCCAGUUAUCCUCGAGGAAGAAUGAAAAAGAGAGCAGGGGAGGCACUGGGCAGACAGACAGAGAGCAGCGGGGGAAAGGCCAUGAGCCCAUGAUCCGAUCGCCAUGGAGAUGGACGCACGUUGUUCGACCGGCGGGGCAUCGGAUCCAGAAACUAAAGGAAAUCGACGCACAUGGUGCACGUACACAUCGCCG